CCGAACCGCGGUUCCCGAGGGGGCCGCGGAGUGUGGAGAGGAUGAGCUCGCGAGGGGGCGGGACGGGUUCCAAUCCGUCUGGAAGGGCGGAGGCACGGAGGGCGAUUCCCCGUACGUGCUCGGUCCGUCCCCGACGAGCGAACGCAUCGGAGAGUCGGGCCGCUUGAGAGUGCAGCCCGAAUGGGGUGAUAGGUCUCAUCCAAGGCUAAGUACGUGGGAGACGCCGAUAGCGAACAAGUACGGCGACGGAAAGGUGAAAAGAACCUCGAAAGGGGGGUCAAAAGCGCUCGAAAUCGUAGAGGGGGAAGCGGACCUGACCGACGAGACCUCGUCGUCGCUCGCGCUCGACCCACGCUUCGUCGCGGAGUUCCGGAGGGCUCGCCCCCCGGACGCCGCGGCGCGGCGGGGUCGGGAGGCGGCUCGGCGGCGGGGCCGGCGUUGCGCGGACCGGCGUCGCGCCGACGAGAGGUCGCC
rnacentral:rRNA from 1 species